UACGUAGGAUGCAAGCGUUGUCCGGAAUUACUGGGCGUAAAGGGCGAGUAGGCGGUUCGCCAAGUCUGACGUGAAAUAUCCCGGCUUAACCGGGAGGGGUCGUUGGAAACUGGCGGACUAGAGUGAGGUAGAGGCUAACGGAAUUCCCGGUGUAGUGGUGAAAUGCGUAGAGAUCGGGAGGAACACCAGUGGCGAAGGCGGUUAGCUGGGCCUUAACUGACGCUGAGGCGCGAAGGCUAGGGUAGCAAACAGG
rnacentral:rRNA from 1 species